GGUGAGAUGGCCGAGCGGUCUAAGGCGCCAGACUAAGGAGACCCGGGUAGUUGUACCCACAUGAUCUGGUCCGAAAGGGCGUGGGUUCGAAUCCCACUCUCAUCA